GAGUGAACGCUGGCGGUAGGCCUAACACAUGCAAGUCGAACGGCAGCACAGUAAGAGCUUGCUCUUACGGGUGGCGAGUGGCGGACGGGUGAGGAAUACAUCGGAAUCUACUUUUUCGUGGGGGAUAACGUAGGGAAACUUACGCUAAUACCGCAUACGACCUACGGGUGAAAGCAGGGGAUCUUCGGACCUUGCGCGAUUGAAUGAGCCGAUGUCGGAUUAGCUAGUUGGCGGGGUAAAGGCCCACCAAGGCGACGAUCCGUAGCUGGUCUGAGAGGAUGAUCAGCCACACUGGAACUGAGACACGGUCCAGACUCCUACGGGAGGCAGCAGUGGGGAAUAUUGGACAAUGGGCGCAAGCCUGAUCCAGCCAUACCGCGUGGGUGAAGAAGGCCUUCGGGUUGUAAAGCCCUUUUGUUGGGAAAGAAAAGCAGCAGGUUAAUACCCCGCUGUUCUGACGGUACCCAAAGAAUAGGCACCGGCUAACUUCGUG
rnacentral:rRNA from 1 species